rnacentral:rRNA from 1 species
UACGUAGGGGGCGAGCGUUGUCCGGAAUUAUUGGGCGUAAAGAGCUCGUAGGCGGUUUGUCGCGUCUGCUGUGAAAACCUAAGGCUCAACCUUGGGCUUGCAGUGGGUACGGGCAGACUAGAGUGCGGUAGGGGUGACUGGAAUUCCUGGUGUAGCGGUGGAAUGCGCAGAUAUCAGGAAGAACACCGAUGGCGAAGGCAGCUCUCUGGGACGGGUACUGGACGCUGAGACGCGAAAGCGUGGGGAGCGAACAGG